UACGUAGGGGGCAAGCGUUGUCCGGAAUCAUUGGGCGUAAAGCGCGGGCAGGCGGCCCGCUCAGUCGGCCGUGAAAGCGCCGGGCUCAACUCGGCGAGGUCGGGCGAUACUGGCGGGCUCGAGGCUGGUAGAGGGCGGUGGAAUUCCGGGUGUAGUGGUGGAAUGCGUAGAGCUCCGGAGGAACACCAGUGGCGAAGGCGGCCGCCUGGGCCACGCCUGACGCUGAGCCGCGAAAGCGUGGGGAGCAAACAGG
rnacentral:rRNA from 1 species